rnacentral:rRNA from 1 species
CCUACGGGAGGCAGCAGUGGGGAAUAUUGGGCAAUGGGCGCAAGCCUGACCCAGCAACGCCGCGUGAAGGAAGAAGGCUUUCGGGUUGUAAACUUCUUUUGUCAGGGACGAAGCAAGUGACGGUACCUGACGAAUAAGCCACGGCUAACUACGUGCCAGCAGCCGCGGUAAUACGUAGGUGGCAAGCGUUAUCCGGAUUUACUGGGUGGAAAGGGCGUGUAGGGGGGAUUGCAAUUCAGAGGUGAAAGCCACGGGCUCAACCUGUGACAUGUAUUUGAAACUGUGGUUCUUGAGUACUGGAGAGGUAGACGGAAUGCCUAGUGUAGCGGGGAAAUGCGUAGAUAUUAGGAGGCACACCAGUGGGGAAGGCGGGCUGCGGGACAGAAAAUGACGCGGAGGCGUGAAAGCGUGGGGAGCAAACAGGAUUAGAUACCCGGGUAGUA